GAGUGUAGCUCAAUUGGUAGAGCAUCUGCUUGCCAUGCAGAAGGUCGUGGGUUCGAAGCCCAUCACU
rnacentral:tRNA from 1 species